UUCCUUCUUCACUUAUGCAUCUUUGCAAUCUUACCUUCCUUAAUAACAUGAUCAAGAAACUCUCAGACUGGGGGUUGUUCAUCAGCUGCUGUUAGAUGAUAUAGCAUUUAGUUUGGUUAUACUGUCUUGUUUGGGGAGAAGACUGUCCUCUGGCAAGAGGCUGUGUAGGUCCCUUACCUCUGUUUGCUUGGUGGCUGCUGGUCUGAGGAGGCUGGAAAGGGGGGGAGGGGCCUCAUCUGGAAUCUAGCAGCAAAAUCACAGCACAGGUAAGUCAGAGAUCAUUGUUUCCUAUUUAAACGUUGAAUUCUUAUUAGGUAAAAGGAGGGAUGUGGUUACAAAAACCAAGCAGAGGACAGAUCCAGCUUGGUCAAGGGGGUCUAAGUACCACAAUAAAUGAUGUGAUCUACUGAAGUGGGAGCUGGGGGGCUGUUCUUUUUAUUUCCUGCGAUGGCAUUGGCCAGUGAGACCAUGAAGAGGUCGCUUCUCCUCAGUUUGCUAGUCUGUAAAAUGGGAAUGAUGAUGCCAGUUUUCCUCUGCCACGUUUUGAGACCUCCAAAGGUAACAAGCACCACCUGCUUUGCACUGCCUGCACAAGCCUGCUUUGUUAGCAUGGACAUUUCAAGAGCCAAUGUCUGCAUUUGCAUCACAGUACAUCUCGAUCACACAGGGACUAUGGUGUCUGGUGUAGCACAGUGAGAAGGGCUACUCAGGAAGCGGGUCCCUGAACUUCAGCUGGUCGCCAUGGUGACAGAAUAGCUUAGCACUGCAAGAAGAGCGAAAAGCGAUAUAUUGUGCUGGGGAUAAGUUAUGGCAUCGAGGCUGCACGUUGAAGUACCUCUGCUUGUCUGGCUCUGGGCUUCCUGGACACUUUGCUGAGCUCUGGGGUUUCCUCUCCCUGAAUCUUCUUCUCCAGCUCACCUAUGAUGAACAGCUCUGGGCUGAAAAAUGAAAACAUGAUGUUUGGAAUGAAAAUGAGUGAGGACUUUCUGCUCUGCUGAUGAAGAAUCCCAUGCUAAUGGAUGUGGUUGCGGAAUGGGGUCCACAGAUUUUAUAAAGGAGGUGGAUACACUUGGUGGUGACAGUAAGACUGAGCUUCUGAAGAUGGGAGGAAGAAAACACGGGUCUAAGAAAUCUCUUUAAAAACCAGGGAAAGCAUAGGGAAACUUAACAACAAGAUAAAAUGGCAAUUGCAUAUAAGCCCACACAUGCACUCACUCUCUUGCUCUCUCUCUAACACCCACGCACUCGAGUACAUCUUUCAGUCCAAAAUAGUAGGGAAAAUACAUUAUAGCCUUUAUUGUCAGGAGUAAUUUCUCUUCACGUGUCACUACCAGCAAAUUCUCAGAGCAGGUGGAUACGCUGCACAAAACUCAUCCAUAUGAUUUUUUUUUUCCUAAACCUGAACAAAGCAAAGCAAAAAAGCCCCUGUGAACUGUUAAGUUGAAGAGCUAGAUGCUGACAGUUCUUGGAUGGAUGAAGGCUGCACACAACUAUUUGUAUGCUAGUAAUGCAACAUGAGGCAGCAGGAUGAUUGUGUGGGGAACCAGAGCUCACUUUACUCACAAGAAUGGCUUCUAGUCCAUGUCCCUUUUCCUCUGGAUAUGUCAGGGAACCUGGCUCCAACCCCAGUAUGCGUUUCCCUCAUGAAAUGCUUUCUUUGCAAGCUGGGGAAUUUCCAACCCCUUGUGUUUAGCCUACAAGGAGCAUGGCUGAAAAUAACCUGCUGGCUGCUCUUUCUUGGAGAGUAAGAAAAUAAAGGUCUCUGUGCUUAGCCUGCAAUGACAGUUUUGCAGCCAGCUAACACUGAGCAAGAAAAAUGAAGACUGCAGAAGUAGAAGACGGAAAUGAAAGUUGCUCUACCGACAGGGCUACAUGAAUUCAGCAAUGGGUGGAUUAGGCUGAGUGUUAUCAGUGAUGAUGAAACACAGCAGACUGUGGCUGAGUGGUACGUUUCAACGAUCAUUAUCAAAAGGCUAUACAGAUGUUCUUACUGUAAAUGCUUUCCAGCUUCAAGACCUUCUCCCAUGACAUGCAAUGAAUUCCUGGUACUCAACUCCUUCAGGAGGGAAAGCGUUGCAAAGCAGCACCUUCUGCGGCGCGAGAUGUCUCGGUGGCAGGAACAAAGCGGCGAGCCAGGUGAGACUGCCGGGGAGACAAAGGAUUCCCGCUGCACAACGGGACGCCUCGCAGUGAAGUGGGUAUUGCCAUUUAUUGUGAGUGCCUGGUCAUUAACAAUUCAUUGUAAUAUAUUACACGCAGGGAUCUCAUAGGGCUCUCAUGCACUUCCUCAGAAGUGUGCCCUGGCUUCCCUGAAGCAUUGUUUGAGCGGAGCGUGACAGCACUUGUCAAUGGAGCUGUUGUGGUGACAUGUUUAAGAGCCCUAAUGCACUUUUUAAUUCUCCAUCAGUCUCAUGCACUUCCUUUCAAAUUCAGAUGGGUAUUUUUCUGCCAUGUCCAUCCCAGAUGAUGAAGGCUGUGUUUGCUGUGGUCUUUGUUCUGCUCUUUGCUUUUGACAGGAUCUGGUCCCUGACUAUCUCUGCACCAGCCAGAGUGUUUCCUAGCUCAUUUCCCUCUCCAUUUUCCUUCCUGGAGUACAUGUGCUGUCUCCAGACACUGACAACUGGCCACCACAGCAGGGACAAGUGAGAAGGAUGAUUGGAGUGAUGCUGGGCAACUCCCCUGUGCUGAGGUUGCCUUACAUCUCUUGCAAAUAGGCUUUUACAGCUCUGUUCAAUAUCUCAAAACCUUGUAGGAUAUGACACCUUCCCUGGCUGGAAAUGAAAAAGUGAGUAUUGGGGUGCUUGAAGGGUGGGUUACCAGGGCCUGCCCAGCCCCCUGGGAGCCCUGGUCCUUCUGGGGUCACUGAGAUCCCAGCCUUCAAAUGAAGCUAGUGCAAGGGAUACUGUGCUAAUGAGGGAACCUCUCCAUUGCAUCAGCUUCAUUGUCACAAAUGUCAUCUCCAAAAGGGAUGGUUUAUUUCCUGUGCAGCCUACGGUGCAUGAAGCAGGGGGCUGAAAAUCCAUUUUAAUGCUAGCGAAUGGUGUCAGGUGAAUAUGAGCUGACAUAAGAAUCUGGAUAAUUAAAGCAGCUUCCCUUGACCUGAUAUUAGCAGUGUUGAUGCUCUGAUAUUCUGCAACUUGUGAUAGAUGUAGAUCCUCAACCAUUGAUUUUUUUGGUAUCUGUCCAUAAAUAUUAUGAUAAACUGUUGGUUUUGUGAGGAUAUUUUUUUUAUUUUGUAGGGAGUUGAGUUACUGCUGCUUGGUGAAAUAUCAAUGAUGUACUUAUCUAUGAGCUAUCUGAGCACUGUGACACGGAAAGCAUUAGAAUUCAUCAUACUUAUUAUUGUUCUUUUACAAAUGACUGUAUGCCAACCACUUAAAGCUUGGCACUAGAAGUGCAGCCACACAGAGGUGGCUGCACACCAUCUUCUGUGCAAAGGGUCUGAUUUCAUCAUAAAAGAGGUACUUCCAGAGACCAUGGAAAUAAAAUCUUUCAUGAAGCAGAGGGGGGAUAGGAAGUCAGGAGAGGACUGCAAAUACAAAUGUGACAAGAGGUUAGGAGAAAAUAUUUGUCAGCAAAAGGUAAUAAAUGUGUGUCCAGAAACAUAAGGAACUAAGGAAACCAGAGAGAUGCAUUUGGGUUUGAGAAGGCUCCCUGAUGGUUUCAUGCCACCUUUUCUAAACUUGACUGAGCGUUAGGACUCAUGUGUUCUUUGCAAAUAGUUUCACCUGCACCCGAAGUCUUCUGUUUUCCUCUGACAGCACCAUCUUUUCAAAAGACUCUAUUGGCUGACUUGCAAAAUAAUUUUUCUAUGACUUCAGUCCUGAUUGUCAAUUCUGUUCCCCAGGAGAAAUAGCCCUGGAUGUUCCUUUUUCUCAUCUCAUCCAUCUGUUGUGUCUGCCCAGGAAUUAUUUUGAGUUUCGUCUUCGUUUUCCCCUCUCACUCCUGGAUGACUUAAUCACUGACACAUCCAUCCAUAACUACAUGGCUUCCCUAGAAUUGCCAGGGAACCCUAACACAGCCAACAAAGGUCUCAGAGACAGUGAAGAGACAAAGAAAGCCCCUUAAGGUACCUCAGGAACUGAAAAUAAUGUGCUCGUGACAGCCAGGACUAAAUUAGCUCUUCUGAGAGGCAAGUCUUGCUAACUGAAGUUUGGGGCUCAGGCUGGUUCCAAAGGAAGGUAUCCGCAAGAAACCUCUGGACUACACCAUGCUGCACGACUGGGGAGUGAAAUGUGUUCAAAUUUUGGGCACUGAAGUAUAUACAGUAAGAGGCUUUGAAUCUGAUUCAGGUCUUACACAACUGUAAACAGAUAUUAGAUCAUUCUUGUUUAAGGAGUGAAUCCAGUAUAAAACCAGCCUAGUUCAGACAAAGUGUGGCUACUUUUGUUGUUGCUGUUGGGAAGUUUAUCUUUCUUUGGCUGUGGGGAAGAUGAAACAAGGGGAAGACUAUAUCGUUGAAGUGGAGAGGAUAUUAUAGCUACUGGGUGAUUCCCAGGCAGUUUUGAGUUCCAAUCUCAGUUCUUCUAGCUUGAGGAAGAAAAAAAAAUAAUGGAGGAAAAAAAUCUGAGCCUCACAGAAGUGAGGCUGGUUGUCAUCUAAACUGAUUUAUUGAAUUACUUCAUUUAUUUAUAUAUAUAUAUAUAUAUUUAACUGCAGAUAAUCCAGAGCACGUUUCAAUGCACAGACUUAGAAAAACUGAAGAACUGACACUGAAGCACUGCAGGUGCUGAAAGCCCCAUUUUAUCCACCCAUGGUCAUCCAGUAGUGGUGAAGCAUCUAUGUGUACCAGCUGUCAGCUGAACAGGGACCUGCAGGCUGGAGGAGAAAAUGCACAGAGCUAGCAGAGCUAAGCAUUGGUGGAGAGCUGGAGAGAUUGCCUGUGUCAUGAGCUGUAUCAGAGCCAAAGCAUCAGAGUGUCUGGCACGUGUCAUGCCCCAGAUAAACUGCUGAAACACAGACCAGGUCAUAUACAAGGUGAGACCAAGGCCACAGACCCUGUCUCAGCAGAAUUCUGUUUAGCACAGGUUACUCUAGGCUUUCAAUACAAUUGGGAGAGUUUAUCAUUAAUUUUCUUACCCCAGUUGUCCUACUCAGCCCUGGUUAAAUUAACUUUUUCAAUCACUCCUGCUCUGUCAGAUUCCUUCCUUAUUAGAUGUCCUUCAGUGUUUCACUGAAGGCAUUAUUAUGCUUUACAGGACAAAGUCAUUUUAUGCUUCUUUAAAGCAGUGAGAACCCUUCCCUUCUCCCUCCUUGUUCUCUGAUCUAGCCUUAUUGAUACUUUCUCAUUUCAUCAUGCAAUCAGUGGGGAAUAUUAAUCAGGACCUGGUGGGGUCUUUUUAAUUUGGAUUGCAGGCAAUGAAAGGCACUAUCUUCAACUCAUAAGAAGUAUGUCCAUAAGCAGUAAAAGCAAUGAGAUAUAGUUUCCUAAGGGCCUGUCUAGAGAUUGAACUCUGCUGUCUAAUAAAGGCUCUAUUGGCACUGCUGUUUUUCCCUUAGUGAGGUGAUUAAUAAUGCGUGUUUUUGCUAUUCAGCAUCUUCUAUUUCUUAAUUAUAUUGGGACUUCCUUUUUUAAAAAUAAAU